GAUGAACGCUGGCGGCGUGCUUAACACAUGCAAGUCGAACGGAUUUAACAGAAAGCUUGCUUUCGGUUAAAUUAGUGGCGGACGGGUGAGUAACGCGUGGAUAACCUGCCGUAUACAGGGGGAUAACACUUAGAAAUAGGUGCUAAUACCGCAUAAGCGCACAGUUUCGCAUGAGACAGUGUGAAAAACUCCGGUGGUAUACGAUGGAUCCGCGUCUGAUUAGGUAGUUGGUGGGGUAACGGCUUACCAAGGCGACGAUCAGUAGCCGACCUGAGAGGUUGAACGGCCACAUUGGGACUGAGACACGGCCCAGACUCCUACGGGAGGCAGCAGUGGGGAAUAUUGCGCAAUGGGGGCAACCCUGACGCAGCAACGCCGCGUGAAGGAAGAAGGUCUUCGGAUUGAAACUUUUGUCUUUGGUGAAGAUAGUGACGGUAGCCAAGGAGGAAGCCACGGCUAACUACGUG
rnacentral:rRNA from 1 species